GUAAGUGUGCAGUUUUAGUACUCUACUGACUGUUUCUUGCCCUUGCAGAUGUCCCCUGUUUAACGCAUCCUGCCUUUUCUAUAGCAGAAGCGUGUAGGGUUGUAGCAAUGCUGGUGAUAAACAUAGCGAUCCCACCAUAACCAGAAGGGCUAUAAUUCAUGUGGUUGGCAGUGCAUGCAUUUGCAGCUCCCUGUUAAAUCUGAGUAGUUUCAACACAUUACAUUCAAAUACAAAAAUAUACUGACUGCUUGAAAGACUGCAUUUGCCUUUGAGCUGGCUUGAUUAGACUACAGUACUGAAGGCAGAAAAUGCAUUGCUUGUUCCCAUACACAUGGGCUCCUUCAUAAAAAUGCUGUUGAAAAAAUGCUGCUGAUCAGAAGCUGUUAAGUCAAAAUCUUGGCAAAAAUAAAUAAAUAAAUAUUACCAUAUUCUAAGCUUUGCUCAUUCCAAUAAAAAUAACAGUGGAUGGAAAUGAAGCCCUCGAAGAACUUCAGUUUCACUUUUAUAUGACAGUUUUCAUCUCUCUGAGUUUCUUAGUAUUGACUUGGAUUAAAUAACCUUGUAUGGAUGAGAAUUUUUUUGCAGAAAUGAUUCAGGAAGCCAAGCUUCUUUGGGGCUUAAUUCAUACACGUUUCAGAUUUCAUAUUGAAAAUAUUUACUUCAGUUUUUCCAUUUGCUAGACAGACAGCUCAAUAAGUAAAUUCAAGUACAAGUGCAUAACGCAGCACUUCGGGCAGCUGUGGUUUUACAGCCAUGCUUCUAAAACUGUUGGAAGAACUGCAGUUGGUGGGUAGAAUUUAUAAGCGAGGUGCUGAGGGCAGCAGACAAAGUUCCUCCCUUCUGUCAGCCUGCAGAUCUGAAUUCUGCCUUUUCAGAUGGUCCGCCCUUCGGUACAUGACUGAAGCCUGUCCUAAAAUGGGAAAAUUAUCCUUUGGUUAAGAAUGAUUUGAAUUCUUUUCUCCGUCAGAAGUUUGGAACUGAACGUGAAGGACACAGAUUUAACUCACAGCACUGCCAGAGGUUUUUGUCUACUAUUUUUACUGAUAAUCCCAAUGUUAGAGGAAAAGAAGAUCCCAAAGUCCCAAAUCUGAAGCUGGGGUGUACACAGGUUUGCAACUAUUAGUGUCACUGAAAGUCUUCAGGCCGUGUCCUUACGCUGCUUGAGUUUGUGCAAGAACGUGUUGUGAUAAAACUACCUGCUUAAAGGCUGGUCACAUUAAGAGAGCUAUCAUUUACAUGAAAACCAGAAGCCAGGGAAGCAGAUGCAGCACGAAGGAGCAUACGUGUGACAAAUCUCACUUGUGUCUGAAUUAAAGAGCAGUUCCUGGACUUAAAAUGCAAUGGCAGGCUGCAAAUAAAGGAAAUCUUCCAUUUGCCUUGGAUACUGGUAAUAUAAAAAGACUGAAUUUGUUACAUCUACAUUUAAAAUGACUUUUUUUUUUUUUUUCAUUUUAAAUCUUGGAUAAGCUAUCUCAGAGCUACAGUUCCUAAGAGGAGGAUCUUGUUUCAUGACAUAAUAAAAGCCAGGGUCUGGUGAGAUAGCAACAGAAUCCCUAAUUAAGAGACAGGAUACUCUAAGCUUGAACAUGAGCCUCUUGAAAACCAGACCAGACAGCUGUAGUGCUCUCUCGAUGGUAGAACCCUCAGGACAGUUGAAAGGAAGGGAUGUACCACAGCAAUCUGUCAUCAGUGCAACUUCCAGCAAUCUUUGUAGCUAACAGAUCACAGUGGAUUUUCUUUCUCCUCAUGAAUUUACCUAAUCACUUUCUAAAUCCUGUUUCAUGCAGUACUGUGAGAAUGAUAAUCUAAUUUUGGUCUCUAAGACAUGAAAUACAAAAACAAUAGGAGGCCCAGGAAAGAAUGAAGCCAUUUUGCCAACAGAUAUUACAAAAACAUGCAACAAUUAUAGCACAUUGACGAAGAAAAUUACUAAAACCGCUAAUUACAAAAUAACCCAGCAUUUCCUGCUGUGAAAAUGAAUUUGUUAUUUAGACCACUUCACUGUUUUUGAUAAAUCACCACCUGUAAUUGCUUUUCUAAGCUCGUGAUAGGGGUAUUUCUCUAUUUGGUGCCAUGAUGUCAAAUUGAAAGAGUACCUUUUCGACUGGUCGCAUUGUCUAGGGUUAAAUAGAAAACCUUUCCAAACUCUUCUUCACUCCAAGAUUUUUGUAUCAGUCAUGGAUGAGAAGAAAAAAGACAAAUGUCACCACUCUUUGCCUAGCUGUGAGAAAUUCACUGCCUGUGAAGUUAUGCUACUUGUUCUCUGCUACAAUACUAACUUUCAUGUAUUUUGCAAUCCCUGUCUAUCUCUGUUGUAAUUUCUUGCAAAGUGUUGAAAAUGUAAAGCUCUACACUCACAAUUGCCCCACAAUCUGAUUUACAAACUAAAAGAAUAUACCUGGGCUUUUCUGAGUAUUUUUCUUGCUUACAUAUAGGUGAGAUAUUCCCUUUAACAAAUAAUCCUCAUAUUAAAAAAAAAACAAGAACCAACCACGCAUACCAGGUCUAACUUAUGCAUGUGCAGCAUCCUAUUUAAUAAUUUACAGCUGUGCAAAGAACAAGCAGGUGAGUGUAUUCCAUACAGCUGCACAAAGCUCUGCGUAACCAGAGCGGAAACGGAAUGACUGCACGCACCUUUCUAUUUAUCCAGACCUCUAGAAAACGCAAACAGCAAAUUCUAAAGUGAAGCCAAAGCCAUGCAUGCCUCGAGGCCCUUUCCAGAUGGUAUGAAGACGAGCCCUUUUCCCUCCCUUUUACAUGACGUGAUUUUGCUUCCUCUCGGAUCAUCUCAGCCCUACUUACCGUUACACAACGUUUUUUGCACCCACGUUAACGUUAUUUGCUGCUAAUUCUGAUAUUCUGUCGUCAUCAGUGAAAAUGCUGAAACCCUCCCAGUUCUUGUUCAUGACGUGUCUCCGAGAUUACACAGCCCUCGAUAAAAAUGUCCCUGGGAAAGGAUAAAAGCGAUUACUGAGCUCAGUGCUUCAGACCCUUAAGCUGCCACCAGGUGCAUCAAAUGUGCCAGUUUUUCUCUUCUGCUUGCUUAACAGAGGAAAAAGCUCAAAUGAACGUUUAUCUGAUGUUCCUCCUGACCCCAAACUAAAGCUGUUAUUGCCUCUCUGAAUAUAUUAUUCCAUUCCUGUAAAGCCAUUUAGUUGCAAAUUCAACAUUUUCUUAUUGCAUAUGCCCACAUUAGCCAUGGUAAAGGCCUGUAACAGGGCAGAUGCAGUUCUGUCCCAAUGACCUCUCUGGUAUUUCUAUAGAAAUGCUCUGUUAAACACCCAGGCAUUUCAACUUCCAGUCACAAGACCUAUAAAAAAUUCAUACACCGAAUCUCUGGUUUCAAACCACAGCUCUGCAUCAUUAAGAGCUUUUCAAUCCUCCCACCCCACAGACGUUAUGAAGAAGGGGGGAGGGCGGCUCUACCUUCCCAGUGCUUAACCCUCACAUCUUCUGCUCCUCCUGCCUGCAAUUUUAACCAGCUCUGGGUGGAGGCUGGCAAACACGUGUGAGCUGCAGAGCACACAACCAGGCUGAUAUCCCAUCACCCCCAACAGAGCUUAAGAACGUGUUCGCAUUUUGAGAUCUGCCCCAAACUUCUCAGCGGGAAGCAGCAAAGGGGCUUCUAAGGAACCCCGGCACCUCCGUGCAUCUCUUGCUCUUUCCAGAGGGCUUUCACUCAGAACCCACCAGCCGG
ensembl:lncRNA